CGUCCCUGGAGUCGUUCCAUCUCCACCUCAACCGCUUCAUUCCAGGAGAAAGUGCCAACCCUUGGCACUUCCAGGCUUUUCUCCUGGAGGGGUUGGUGAGAUGGAACGAGGACAGGGCGGCGUCCGCGGCACAGGAGGGUCGUCCGCUGCUCCGCACCUACAGUGGCCCCCUGCAGCACUCCCUUGACCAGCUCAGCCAACGGGUGCUUGGCUCGAGUUUGGUCAGGGACUACACCAAGCCCAGGGAGUACACGGGGGAACUCAUCGGCAUCGAGUACCUGUACUCCCAGACGGGCAGAGUGCUGCAGGACGUCAGCUUGGACCCUGACGUUCCGGACGCGGGUCCACCGCCUACCGAGGAGGACGACGAGCUCGCCGAAGGCCGGCAUGAGUUGGAGGACCUCACACUCCACGUGCCUGGCGAGUUCACCGCUCCUCGGACGGACCCGCGGUCAGGGCAACCAGCUGACGCACCCGCGCCCGAGCCAUCCCGUCCGACCGAUCCCCCCGAGCCCGCGCCCCGCUCCCCCGGCCGGUCCUCACCAGAGCCUCAGCAGACCGCUGAGGACUACCGAGGACCAGACGACCAGCCGGGGUACCUGGCCGUGGUCCGCUUGGCCACGGCCUUAGUGGGGCUGCGCCACGAACAGGCCCUGUCCGAGGGGAGGGUAGACGAGCUCAUCGGGCUCUACGAGGCCCUGUCCCCGUUCGACAGGGCCCGAGUAGUUUACCCUCCCCGCUACACGGACGGGGCAGCUCGGGGGGGUCGAUUCAUGGCAGCGGAGCCAGGCCGCACCAGUAUCCCUGGUGUGGAGAGCCUGCGACGCUGCCUGGUCGGACAGACCUCUGGACCCGCCAGCAGUCCCAGCACAAGCCGGCUGGUAGAAGCAGUGUGCGUCCAGCUCUGCAACCUGUACCCUACGGGCACCCGUGUGCAAGGCGGCGC
ensembl:lncRNA